rnacentral:rRNA from 1 species
GACGAACGCUGGCGGCGUGCCUAAUACAUGCAAGUUGAGCGAUGAAGAUUGGUGCUUGCACCAAUUUGAAGAGCAGCGAGCGGGUGAGUAACGCGUGGGGAAUCUGCCUUUGAGCGGGGGACAACAUUUGGAAACGAAUGCUAAUACCGCAUAACAACUUUAAACAUAAGUUUUAAGUUUGAAAGAUGCAAUUGCAUCACUCAAAGAUGAUCCCGCGUUGUAUUAGCUAGUUGGUGAGGUAAAGGCUCACCAAGGCGAUGAUACAUAGCCGACCUGAGAGGGUGAUCGGCCACAUUGGGACUGAGACACGGCCCAAACUCCUACGGGAGGCAGCAGUAGGGAAUCUUCGGCAAUGGACGAAAGUCUGACCGAGCAACGCCGCGUGAGUGAAGAAGGUUUUCGGAUCGUAAAACUCUGUUGGUAGAGAAGAACGUUGGUGAGAGUGGAAAGCUCAUCAAGUGACGGUAACUACCCAGAAAAGGACGGCUAACUACGU